UGCGUAGGCGGCGUCAUAAGUCAGGGGUGAAAGCCCACAGCUCAACUGUGGAAUUGCCUUUGAUACUGUGGUGCUUGAAUCAGGUUGAGGUAGGCGGAAUGUGGCAUGUAGCGGUGAGAUGCUUAGAUAUGCCAUAGAACACCGAUUGCGAAGGCAACUUACUGGACCUGCAUUGACGCUGAGGCACGAAAGCGUGGGGAGCGAACAGGAUUAGAUACCCUGGUAGUCC
rnacentral:rRNA from 1 species